rnacentral:rRNA from 1 species
GAUGAACGCUGGCGGCGUGCCUAAUACAUGCAAGUCGAGCGAACAGACGAGGAGCUUGCUCCUCUGACGUUAGCGGCGGACGGGUGAGAAACACGUGGAUAACCUACCUAUAAGACUGGGAUAACUUCGGGAAACCGGAGCUAAUACCGGAUAAUAUAUUGAACCGCAUGGUUCAAUAGUGAAAGUCGGUUUUGCUGUCACUUAUAGAUGGAUCCGCGCCGCAUUAGCUAGUUGGUAAGGUAACGGCUUACCAAGGCGACGAUGCGUAGCCGACCUGAGAGGGUGAUCGGCCACACUAGAACUGGGACACGGUCCAGACUCCUACGGGAGGCAGCAGUAGGGAAUCUUCCGCAAAGGGCGAAAGCCUGACGGAGCGACGCCGCGUGAGUGAUGAAGGUCUUCGGAUCGUAAAACUCUGUUAUGAGGGAAGAACAAAUGUGUAAGUAACUAUGCACGUCUUGACGGUACCUAAUCAGAAAGCCACGGCUAACUACGUG